GACGGUACCUGAAGAAAAAGCAUCGGCUAACUCCGUGCCAGCAGCCGCGGUAAUACGGAGGAUGCAAGCGUUAUCCGGAAUCAUUGGGCGUAAAGGGUCCGCAGGUGGCGAAUAAAGUCUGCUGUUAAAGACCGGGGCUAAACUCCGGAAGGGCAGUGGAAACUGAUUAGCUAGAGUACGGUAGGGGUAGAGGGAAUUCCCAGUGUAGCGGUGAAAUGCGUAGAUAUUGGGAAGAACACCGGUGGCGAAAGCGCUCUACUAGGCCGAAACUGACACUGAGGGACGAAAGCUAGGGUAGCGAAAGGGAUUAGAUACCCCUGUAGUCUUAGCUGUAAACGAUGGAUACUAGGCGUAGCUUGUAUCGACCCGAGCUGUGCCGAAGCUAACGCGAUAAGUAUCCCGCCUGGGGAGUACGCACGCAAGUGUGAAACUCAAAGGAAUUGACGGGGGCCCGCACAAGCGGUGGAGUAUGUGGUUUAAUUCGAUGCAACGCGAAGAACCUUACCAGGGCUUGACAUGUCGCGAAUCUGGCGGAAACGUUAGAGUGCCUUAGGGAACGCGAACACAGGUGGUGCAUGGCUGUCGUCAGCUCGUGUCGUGAGAUGUUGGGUUAAGUCCCGCAACGAGCGCAACCCUCGUCCUUAGUUGCCAAUAUUAAGUUAGGCACUCUAGGGAGACUGCCGGGGACAACUCGGAGGAAGGUGGGGAUGACGUCAAGUCAGCAUGCCCCUUACGUCCUGGGCGACACACGUACUACAAUGGUUGGGACAAAGGGCAGCAAGCUCGCGAGAGUAAGCGAAUCUCAUCAAACCCAGCCACAGUUCAGAUUGCAGGCUGCAACUCGCCUGCAUGAAGUAGGAAUCGCUAGUAAUCGCAGGUCAGCAUACUGCGGUGAAUUCGUUCCCGGGCCUUGUACACACCGCCCGUCACACCAUGGAAGCUGGCUACGCCCGAAGUCGUUACCCUAACCCGGUUUUGGGAGGGGGAUGCCGAAGGUAGAGCUAGUGACUGGGGUGAAGUCGUAACAAGGUAGCCGUACCGGAAGGUGUGGCUGGAUCACCUCCUUUACAGGGAGACCUAGUCUAAUUACCAAUAGAUAAAAAAGUUGGUAAUUAGCAAGAAUCCUUAGGUCGUGAAGGGAGCAAGAAAAAACUUUCAAACUGUAAUAGGCGAGGGUAAAUGGGCUAUUAGCUCAGGUGGUUAGAGCGCACCCCUGAUAAGGGUGAGGUCCCUGGUUCAAGUCCAGGAUGGGCCACCUGAAAGACACAGGCAGGAUGCCUGUCCCACAAAAAAAGGAAAAAAUUUUAGCAUUGUCUCUUGUAAUCAAGAGCAAGAGACAAUGCUGGAAUAGAUUCC
rnacentral:misc_RNA from 1 species